rnacentral:rRNA from 1 species
UACAGAGGGGGCAAGCGUUGUUCGGAAUUACUGGGCGUAAAGGGUGCGUAGGCGGGUCUUUAAGUCAGGGGUGAAAUCCUGGAGCUCAACUCCAGAACUGCCUUUGAUACUGAGGAUCUUGAGUUCGGGAGAGGUGAGUGGAACUGCGAGUGUAGAGGUGAAAUUCGUAGAUAUUAGGAAGAACACCUGAGGUGAAGACGGGUUGCUGGGCUGACACUGACGCUGAGGCGCGAAAGCCAGGGGAGCAAACGGG